UACGUAGGCGGAAAAUUAAGUCAGUAGUGAAAUCCUGCAGCUUAACUGUAGAACUGUUAUUGAUACUGGUUUUCUUGAAUAUAGUUGAGGUAGGCGGAAUGUGUAAUGUAGCGGUGAAAUGCUUAGAUAUUACACAGAACACCGAUUGCGAAGGCAGCUUACUAAGCUAUGAUUGACGCUGAGGUACAAAAGCGUGGGGAGCGAACAGGAUUAGAUACCCUGGUAGUCC
rnacentral:rRNA from 1 species